UACGGGGGGAGCGAGCGUUGUUCGGAGUUACUGGGCGUAAAGCGUGCGUAGGCGGUGUCUUAAGUUUGUUGUGAAACCUCCCGGCUUAACCGGGAGGGUGCGGCGAAUACUGAGAUGCUGGAGUGCCGGAGAGGUAAGCGGAAUUCCUGGUGUAGCGGUGAGAUGCGUAGAUAUCAGGAGGAACACCUGUGGUGUAGACAGCUUACUGGACGAUAACUGACGCUGAGGCACGAAAGCGUGGGUAGCAAACAGG
rnacentral:rRNA from 1 species